rnacentral:rRNA from 1 species
GUUUGAUCAUGGCUCAGAUUGAACGCUGGCGGCAGGCCUAACACANNCAAGUCGAGCGGUAACAGAUCUAGCUUGCUAGAUGCUGACGAGCGGCGGACGGGUGAGUAAUGCAUAGGAAUCUGCCCGAUAGUGGGGGAUAACCUGGGGAAACCCAGGCUAAUACCGCAUACGUCCUACGGGAGAAAGGGGGCUUCGGCUCCCGCUAUUGGAUGAGCCUAUGUCGGAUUAGCUAGUUGGUAAGGUAAUGGCUUACCAAGGCAACGAUCCGUAGCUGGUCUGAGAGGAUGAUCAGCCACAUCGGGACUGAGACACGGCCCGAACUCUACGGGAGGCAGCAGUGGGGAAUAUUGGACAAUGGGGGCAACCCUGAUCCAGCCAUGCCGCGUGUGUGAAGAAGGCCCUCGGGUUGUAAAGCACUUUCAGCGAGGAAGAACGCCUGGUGGUUAAUACCCACUAGGAAAGACAUCACUCGCAGAAGAAGCACCGGCUAACUCCGUGCCAGCAGCCGCGGUAAUACGGAGGGUGCAAGCGUUAAUCGGAAUUACUGGGCGUAAAGCGCGCGUAGGUGGCUUGAUAAGCCGGUUGUGAAAGCCCCGGGCUCAACCUGGGAACGGCAUCCGGAACUGUCAGGCUAGAGUGCAGGAGAGGAAGGUAGAAUUCCCGGUGUAGCGGUGAAAUGCGUAGAGAUCGGGAGGAAUACCAGUGGCGAAGGCGGCCUUCUGGACUGAYACUGACACUGAG